rnacentral:lncRNA from 10 species
GCAGGUGCACCAUUUUACAUUCUCAUUAGCAAUACUUGAAGGUUCCACUUUCCCCAAAUCCUAGCCAACACUUGUCAUUUUCUGUGUUUUUGAUACUAGCCAUCUUAAUAGAGAUGUGAAGUGGUAUCUCAAUGCCCUAUCAAAAAAAAAAAAAAAAAAAACGUAAUAUCGGGCCAGGCACAGUGACUCACACCUGUAAUUCCAGCAUUUUGGGAGGCUGAGGUGGGUGGAUCACAAGGUCAGAUCGAGACCAUCAUGGCUAACACAGUGAAACCCUGUCUCUACUAAAAAAUACAAAAAAUUAGCCAGGCAUGGUGGCACGCACCUGUAGUCCCAGCUACCUCCCGAGUAGCUACAGGCGCCCGCCACCACGCCCGGCUAAUUUUUUGUAUUUUUAGUAGAGAUGGGGUUUCACCGUGUUAGCCAGGAUGGUCUUGAUCUCUUGACCUCGUGAUCCACCCGCCUCAGCCUCCCAAACUGCUGGGAUUACAGACGUGAGCCACCGCACCCGGCCUAGAACCUCUUUAUAUGUGUCUGCUUAUCAGUCGUGCAUCUAAGCUUGAAAAUUUUCAAGGAUAGGGAAUUGAAGGAACAUUAAGGUAGCCGUUUUAAGUUUGAAAAGAUCUUUCUACCAGCUGGGCCAACAUGGUGAAACCCUGUUUCUACUAAAUUAGCUGGCCAUGAUGGCAGGCAGCUUUAAUCCUUGCUACUCGGGAGGCUGAGGUAGGAGAAUUGCUUCAACCCCCGGGAGGGGGAGGCUGCAGUGAGCCAAGAUCACGCCACUUUACUCCAGCCUAGCCGACAAAGCAUGACUCUGUCUC